rnacentral:tRNA from 1 species
GCCGAUUUGGCUCAGUGGAUAGAGCAUCAGCCUGUGGGCUGAAAGGUCACGGGUUCGAUUCCGGUCAAGGGCA